UACGUAGGGGGCUAGCGUUGUCCGGAAUCAUUGGGCGUAAAGAGCGUGUAGGCGGUCCGGUAAGUCCGCUGUGAAAGUCGCGGGCUCAACCCUCGAAUGCCGGUGGAUACUGUCGGGCUAGAGUGCGGAAGAGGCGAGUGGAAUUCCUGGUGUAGCGGUGAAAUGCGCAGAUAUCAGGAGGAACACCUAUUGCGAAGGCAGCUCGCUGGGACGUAACUGACGCUGAGACGCGAAAGCGUGGGGAGCGAACAGG
rnacentral:rRNA from 1 species